rnacentral:rRNA from 1 species
GUGCCAGCAGCCGCGGUAAUACGGAGGGUGCAAGCGUUAUCCGGAUUUACUGGGUUUAAAGGGUGUGUAGGCGGGCUUUUAAGUCAGUGGUGAAAUCUCCGGGCUCAACCUGGAAACUGCCAUUGAUACUAUUAGUCUUGAAUUUUGUUGAGGUAGGCGGAAUAAGUCAUGUAGCGGUGAAAUGCAUAGAUAUGACUUAGAACACCAAUUGCGAAGGCAGCUUGCUAAACAAAUAUUGACGCUGAGGCACGAAAGCGUGGGGAUCAAACAGGAUUAGAUACCCUGGUAGUCC